AGAGUUUGAUUAUGGCUCAGGAUGAACGCUAGCGGCAGGCCUAAUACAUGCAAGUCGAACGGGAUGGUCGCCUUCGGGCGGCCUGAGAGUGGCGCACGGGUGCGCAACGCGUAUGCAACCAACCCCCGACAGGCGGAUAGCCGGUGGAAACGCCGGAUAAUACGCCAUGGUUCCGGUGGAGGGCAUCCUCUACUGGAUAAAGCUACGGCGGUCGGGGACGGGCAUGCGUCCCAUUAGAUGGUAGGCGGGGUGACGGCCCACCUAGUCCGCGAUGGUAGGGGAUCUGAGAGGACGGUCCCCCACACUGGUACUGAGACACGGACCAGACUCCUGCGGGAGGCAGCAGUAAGGGAUAUUGGUCAAUGGGGGCAACCCUGAACCAGCCAUGCCGCGUGAGGGAAUGAGGCCCUACGGGUCGUGAACCUCUUUUAUUCGGGGACAAGGACGCGGUCGCGAACCGUGUUUGAGGGUACCGAAGGAAUAAGCAUCGGCUAACUCCGUGCCAGCCGCCGC
rnacentral:rRNA from 1 species